rnacentral:rRNA from 1 species
CCUACGGGAGGCAGCAGUGAGGAAUAUUGGUCAAUGGGCGCGAGCCUGAACCAGCCAAGUCGCGUGAGGGAAGACGGUCCUAUGGAUUGUAAACCUCUUUUGUCGGGGAGCAAAAGCGGCCACGGGUGGGGUUCUGAGAGUACCCGAAGAAAAAGCAUCGGCUAACUCCGUGCCAGCAGCCGCGGUAAUACGGAGGAUGCGAGCGUUAUCCGGAUUUAUUGGGUUUAAAGGGUGCGCAGGCGGAAGAUCAAGUCAGCGGUAAAAUUGAGAGGCUCAACCUCGUCGAGCCGUUGAAACUGGUUGUCUUGAGUGGGCGAGAAGUAUGCGGAAUGCGUGGUGUAGCGGUGAAAUGCAUAGAUAUCACGCAGAACUCCGAUUGCGAAGGCAGCAUACCGGCGCUCAACUGACGCUCAUGCACGAAAGUGUGGGUAUCGAACAGGAUUAGAUACCCGAGUAGUC